AUGGGGACCUGUAUGAAUGGCAUUACGAGGGUUUAACUGUCUCCUUUCCCAAGUUAAUGAAAUUGAUCCCCCCGUGCAGAAGCGGGAAUAUGAACAUAAGACGAGAAGACCCUAUGGAGCUUUAGGCAAUAAACAGAUCGUACCAAGCAUCCCUAAUAAAGGAACACAACCAUACGAAACCUGUCCAAAUGCC
rnacentral:rRNA from 1 species